rnacentral:lncRNA from 1 species
UAAACAAAUCCUGACAAUAUUAGGACUUUCCAAGUCUUAAAUAUAUUAGGACUCAAAAGCAUUAUGACUCUCUAAGUCUUAACCUAGUUAGGACUCUCUAAGUCUUAACCUAGUAAGGACUCUCUUAAGUCCUAACUGCAUUAAAACUCUCUUAAGUCCUAACCUAGUUAGGACUCCACCCCUUCCAUAACGAUAAAAGGAGGAGAGCCCCAUCCAAAGCAUCCCCCAAAGCAACCAAGAAGCCAUCAGUAAAGAGCCCAGUCAGCCCUAGUUUUUCCUGCCUUAGAGCAGUGAAGAACAGCGAGAAGAGAAGGGAAGAAUUCUAUGCAGUGCAGCCAGUUCCUCUCAGCCGUAGCCUUCUUCUGCAAGUUCCAGCAGCCCAAAGCUCCACCCCAAAGCUUCAUACAGCUGCUGUGAGAAGUCCUCAAUGCCUUCUGUCUACUGUUUAAACCUCAGGAGGAGGUUCCUGCAGUGAAGAGGUGAGACCAAAAACGACAGUGACCGCAACCUACCGGGGGUGCUGUCUAAAGACAACCUGCAUUCUCACGCACCCAUAAACUUACUAUCACGUUUUUUAUUCCAUUGUUUCAAGCCUCGUAGUUAGUACUUUGACUUUACAAACAAUAGAGGUUGUUUUCUUUCAGUUUUUACGCUUGGUCUUUUUACCAUAGUUCUCUCCCUCGCCAAACUUCCAUUUGAAAGUAUCGAGUCGACAGAUUGUCGAACCCAAACCCCAUACGGAUCGAUCCAUAGCUUGCUCUACUAAAGGCAACUUGACAUUUCCCUGAAUUCCUCAGCCCUUUUUCCUAUGCUUCUAAUGUUGGGGCCAACCCAAAGUAAUUUUUGACCUGGCAUGCUCAUAAAGAAGUGUUGAUUUUUGAAGGGAAGAGAGAUGUAGCCUGAAAAGAAGUGAUAGAUCGUCAAGGUUGAGAAUCAAUGAUGUCUGUUAUUUAUGACUAGAAACUCGGCAAAUACACCAACUGAACUACAUUUCUAUUUAGUGUAAGCUUUGAUAAA